rnacentral:rRNA from 1 species
CCUACGGGCGGCAGCAGUGAGGAAUAUUGGUCAAUGGGCGCGAGCCUGAACCAGCCAAGUAGCGUGAAGGAUGAAGGCUUUCGGGUUGUAAACUUCUUUUGUCAGGGACGAAGCAAGUGACGGUACCUGACGAAUAAGCCACGGCUAACUACGUGCCAGCAGCCGCGGUAAUACGUAGGUGGCAAGCGUUAUCCGGAUUUACUGGGUGUAAAGGGCGUGUAGGCGGGACUGCAAGUCAGAUGGGAAAACCACGGGCGCAACCUGUGGCCUGCAUUUGAAACUGUAGUUCUUGAGUACUGGAGAGGCAGACGGAAUUCCUAGUGUAGCGGUGAAAUGCGUAGAUAUUAGGAGGAACACCAGUGGCGAAGGCGGUCUGCUGGACAGCAACUGACGCUGAGGCGCGAAAGCGUGGGGAGCAAACAGGAUUAGAUACCCUUGUAGUC